CGGGAAGCAGCAGCAGGGAAUAUUAGUCAAUGGCAGCAACCCGAUCCUGCCAUACCCCGUGCGUGAAGAAGGCCUUUUGGUUUAAACACUUUAAGCGUGGAGGAGA
rnacentral:rRNA from 1 species